UCUGGAGGACACGGACCAAGAGAUCGGAGGGGGAAGAUGAGCCCCAUGGAAGUAGCAUUGGGGGCAGGGAGGAGGGGCCCUGGGGCAGACCUACCUGGGACCUGCAGGUGCAAAGAUGGCUCCCAGAAGGCAGAGAAAUCUCAACUAGGAGAGAAGGAGGCAGAGAUCUCGGCCCAGAGAAAAGGAGGCAGAGAGAUCUCAGCUCAGAGGAGACAGAGAAAUAGCAUUUGAGAUGGAAGGAGAUGGAGAGAUCUCAGCUCAGAGAGGAGGCAGAGAGCUCUCAGCUUACAGAGAGAUCUCAGAUCUAAGGAAAACGCAGCAGAGAGAUCUCAGCUCAGAAGGGAGGAGGGAGAGAGAUCUCGGCGCCGGGGGAAAGAGCCCGAGAGAUCUCAGAUCUGAGGGAAGGAGGCGGAGAGACCUCGGCUCCCGGGAAGGAAGCGGAGAGAUCUCGGCUCCGGGGGAAGGAGGCAGAGAGAUCUCAGCGCUGAGAAGGAGGCGGAGAGAUCUCAGCUCAGAAGGAAGGAGGCGGAGAGAGCUGGGCUCAGAGGGAAGGAGGCGGAGAGAGCUGGGCUCCCGGGGAAGGAGGCACAGAGAUCUGAGCUCGGGGGGGAAGAAGCAGAGAGAUCUGAGCUCAGGGGGAAGGAGGCGGAGAGAGCUGGGCUCAGACAAGGAGGCAGAGAGACCGCAGCUCCCAGGGCUUCUGCUUCCAGCCCUCUUCCUCUGGGGAAAUAGAUGGAUUCACUGUGCCCUGAAUGGACCCGGAGUGCCGACAGUUGACUCACAGCAUGGCUGUUCUCCUAUUUCCUAGCAGAUUGUCUGCUUAACCUGAGAGCUUUGAAACUUGACUAUGAUAUUCCUGGUGAACUCUAGCAUGGUAUGGAAGAGACGAGUGACGGUCUGAGGUUGUAUCGCUAUGUUCCCCAGACUCCUCUGUACUGUGAAUUGGCUGAUGACUAAUGAGCUUAGAAUUCUGACUCAACGUCUUCCCACCUUGAUGACUUACAAAAAACCUUCCUCCAGUAUCACUUUCCUGACACCUACUGAAGUCUGAACUCCAGCUAAAGGCCAUAUCCCAUUGAUUAUCUGGGCACAUCUGCAUUUCAGGAGGCUGCACAUGGGAUUGGAAAAGUUCUACCUGUUCAGUAAAACCUUUGCUGGAUUUCUGAUCCUGAAAACAAUCAUUCCCUGAGGUCAUUUUCUUACACUGAUUUAGGAUUAAAGACUGAAUGAAUCUCUUUCCAAUUUCAUCAAAUUCACAGGCGCUCUUUGGAUUUUUAUCUACCUUGAUAUUAGAAUCAUGGAUUUCUCUCAACUUGAAGUCACAGGGACCAUCACUCAUGACUCUCUGCAGGUCACAUUCUUCCACAAAAUUCCCCGGCUUUCUAGUCAACUCAUUUACUUGGAAUCUGGUCUCUUCAUCUGAAAAAAACAAACAUUUAUACACACAUGACAUAUGAAAUGAUACAGUGAAACAGAUGUAUAAGCACAUAUAUUUAUGGAUACAAAAGUAUAUACAUUCAUAAUCAAAGCAAUAGUAAUGGUUACUAGAGACUUGGGAAGCUCAUGACCAAUGUAAAAGCAAGAACACUUCAUACCUGGACCGUAAGAACAAACAUUGGCAUUAAAGAGAAUGUCAUUAUUAAGAAGAAGAGAUGAACAGGAUGUGAGAGUGACCAAGGAGAUGUGCACGGCAGAGGGCUGGACCCGUCAUGGAUGCACUCACUCAGAGCUAAAUGUUCACAUUCCACAAAAGCAGCAUUCACAAGGCAGGGUGCCCACCAGACUGGGAGAUGAGUCUGUGGCUAAUUUGAAGGGAAAACUCCAACACUGGAACAGAAAAGAAGUAGGCAGCUCCCACAGAUUUGUUGUACAGUGCUGCAUUUACUCAUCUGAGUCAGAACACUUUCAGAUAUCUGAAUUGGUUGGAUGAAAAUGAUGGGGAAAUUCAGAAAGCACCCAACAAAAAAUGAGAACUCUCCAGGCCCUACCAACAGGCUACUUCAUCCAGCUCCAAGGCAGCAUGUAAUUCCAUCAAAAGACUUUUGUAGAAUCAGAUUAUCCUCAACACUGCCCCAAUCCAUCUUUUGAGGUACACAAUUACUGAUGUUAAUCUUAAGCAUAUAGUAUACAUUUCCAUUAAAAAAACAAUUUGUCCAUGUUAAAUUCCUUGAAAUUAAUCUUAUUAUGUUAAAUUUUCUAUUAUUAGUUUAAAAGUCCUGAAAAUGUAUAAAUUCAUUGAAUGUCUAUUUUUUUCAUUCAAUAAUUAUGGAUAAUUUUGUUGGUAGGAUAUUUUUGGCCCCAGGCCUAGUUUUUUGAUUGCCAGUAUAUAUGAUUGCAGGACAUGAGGUCUCUUACUGUGGCUUUUGCUAAGUCCUGCACAAUUCUAACUGUCCUUCAGAGUAUUCUAAUUGUUUUUUUCUUGUUUCUUGCAAAACUUUCUCUUUGAUCUGGGGGUUUCAAAAUUUGGCAAUAAUAAUACUAUGUGUUUUCGACAAAGGAUCUCUUUGAGGUAAUGAUCGGUGGAUUUUUUUUCUAUUUCUACUUUCAUCUCAUAUUCUAUCACUCUAGGACAAUUUUCUUGGAUUAUUUCUUGCAUUUUUGUAUCAAAAUUCUAUUUUUGGUCACAGCUUUCAGGAAGUUCAAUUGUUCUUAUAUUUUCUCUUCUUGAUCUGUUCUCUAGAUUUCUUAUUUUUCUCAUAAAAUGUUUCACAUUCUGUUCUAUUUUUUCAUUUUUUAUAUUGUUUUGUAAUUUCUUGUAACUUCACUGGCUUUCCCUUGCCUGAUUCUAAUUUUAGUCUUAAAACUGUAUCUCCUUUUCUAGUUGGCUAAUUUUUAAAAAAUAUAAUAUUGUUUUCUUGGAUGGUUUUUAUUUUUUCUUAAAAAUUUUCCUAAAUCUCUCUCAUUUGAUUUUCAAAGAUUUUUUUUUUGAAUUCUAUAAAUUCUCUCUGGGCAAGAGCCAUUACUCUUUGGGAAAAAGCUUUUUUUGCAUCAGUAUUUUCCUCUGAAGAUGAACCCAUCUUCCCUCCUCACAUAAUAAGUUUCUCUGAUUGGGUUCAUUCUUCUUUUUUUGUUUGUUUGUUUGUUUUUUAAAGAAAUGUUAGUGUAAGCACCUCUAACCCUGGAGUGGGGAGUUGGUGCCUUCAGCUUCACUUCAGCUCCCUUCUCUGACCUGGAACUACAAGUUUUAUAUACAUUUUUUGAGUAAAUGUCAUUGCAUUUUGUUUUUUCAAACAGUUUUAAGGAAAAAUCACUCAUUCUUAUACUUUCAAAUAUUUUUUAAAAUAAAAAUGAGUGCUGUGUUUUAUCAAGAUUUUUCUAAUCUUGUUGACAUAAUCAUAUCAUUUGUUAUUUUAAUUACUGAUGUAAUUCUGUGAAUAAUUUUACUUCUAUGAAACUAUUCCUGCUCAUGAAACUCAAUUGGGAACAAAGUACAAUCUUUACAAUAUACAAUUGUCAUUUUUAAACUAAUGUUUUAUUAGAAUUUUUGCAUCCAUGUCCAUUAACGAAAUUUGUCUAUAAUUUUCUCUCUUUAUUCUUUGUAUCAAUACUACAUUUGUUUCAUGAAAGGAGGCUGGUGAUAGCCUUCUUUGCCUAUUAUUCCAAAUCAUUUAUUUAAUAUUGGAAUUAAUUGGCCUUUUAAUGUUUGGUAGAAUUUGUAAAUAUGUCUAGUCCUGGCACAUUUUCCUUAAGAAGCUCAAUAUUCUAUUUCUUCUUCUGGUUAGCCUAUGAGAAUACGAUGUCAGCACUGCCAUCCCUCCACUACCAUUUGUUUCCUCCAAAUCAGUUUUUUCAGGACUUGUUUAUUAAAAAUAAUUCCUCCA